UACGUAGGGUGCAAGCGUUAAUCGGAAUUACUGGGCGUAAAGCGUGCGCAGGCGGUUAUGUAAGACAGGUGUGAAAUCCCCGGGCUUAACCUGGGAAUGGCAUUUGGGACUGCAAGGCUGGAGUGCGGCAGAGGAGACUGGAAUUCCUGGUGUAGCAGUGAAAUGCGUAGAUAUCAGGAGGAACACCGAUGGCGAAGGCAGGUCUCUGGGCUGACACUGACGCUCAUGCACGAAAGCGUGGGGAGCAAACAGG
rnacentral:rRNA from 1 species